rnacentral:rRNA from 1 species
GACAGAGGUGCCGAGCGUUAGGCGGAAUCACUGGGCUUAAAGCGUGUGUAGGCGGGUCGUUAAGUGCCUUGUGAAAUCCCACAGCUCACCUGUGGAACUGCUUGGCAUACUGGCGAUCUUAGCCACUUAGGGGCAACCGGAACAAACGGUGGAGCGGUGAAAUGCGUAGAUAUCGUUUGGAACGCCAAUGGUGAAAACAGGUUGCUGGGAGUGUGCUGACGCUGAGACACGAAAGCCAGGGGAGCAAACGGG